AGCGAACGCUGGCGGCAGGCUUAACACAUGCAAGUCGAGCGGAGCGGCAGACGGGUGAGUAACGCGUGGGAACGUACCUUUUGGUUCGGAACAACACAGGGAAACUUGUGCUAAUACCGGAUACCGAAAAUCGGCCCGCGUCUGAUUAGCUAGUUGGUGAGGUAAUGGCUCACCAAGGCGACGAUCAGUAGCUGGUCUGAGAGGAUGAUCAGCCACAUUGGGACUGAGACACGGCCCAAACUCCUACGGGAGGCAGCAGUGGGGAAUCGUGCGCAAUGGGGGAAAGCCUGACGCAGCCAUGCCGCGUGAAUGAUGAAGGUCUUAGGAUUGUAAAAUUCUUUCACCGGGGACGCGGUACCCGGAGAAGAAGCCCCGGCUAACUUCGUGCCAGCAGCCGCGGUAAUUC
rnacentral:rRNA from 1 species